rnacentral:piRNA from 1 species
UGGAAACGUCACCUCAGUAUAGUACUAUGGU